AAAACUUUCAACAACGGAUCUCUUGGUUCUGGCAUCGAUGAAGAACGCAGCGAAAUGCGAUAAGUAAUGUGAAUUGCAGAAUUCAGUGAAUCAUCGAAUCUUUGAACGCACAUUGCGCCCUCUGGUAUUCCGGGGGGCAUGCCUGUUCGAGCGUCA
rnacentral:rRNA from 1 species